AUUUUUUCUUUAGGGGGAAAUGCCUGUGUGAAAUGAAAUUCGGAGGAAGCUGGAAAGGACUGAAGGAGUCAUCAGACUGCAAUGCAACUCUGAUCCAGAGUGAAGGAGACAAGGAGAGAACAUUGGAUAGUGGGAGUAUCUGGCCUGUCUCACAGUUUAAGAAAGGUUAAGCAAAGGCAUCAUCCCUGAGCCAGCCUUGGCUUCCUGGAAUGGGCCUGCCUUAGUAUCCCUGCUCUUUUGAGUUAUGGGAAUGGAGCAGCUUGUGGAGACAUGACCUUGGUGUGAGUGCUAGAAUGGAGCUCAGAGCAACAGCUGCUGCAGCCUCUGUAAUAGGUGAAGAAAAUGAGGCUCAGACAGAAGUGGUGGGGAGUUUGGAGGUCUGGAAGUGAUGGUCUGCUUGGUUUCAGACUCGAUAUUCUUAACCACUUGGCUACCAUGUGCACUUUGACAGUAGGUGGACCCAGCUUGAAUCAUGAUUGUGACUUUGGGCAUGUUGCCUCAUUUUUCUGGCCUUUAAAAUGAAGUUAAUGAUAUCAACUGCAUAGGGCUUCUUUUUGACUGGGUGGGCAAAUAUCUAUAAAAUUUUGAGUAUCAGGCUGGGCGCAGUGGCUCGCCCUUGUAAUCCCAGCACUUUAGGAGGCCAAAGCGGGCAGAUCACCUGAGGUCAGGAGUUCAAGACCAGCCUGGACAACAUGGUGAAACCCCAUCUCUAAUAAAAAUACAAAAAUUAGCUGGACGUAUUGGCG
rnacentral:lncRNA from 10 species